CUAAAGUCAAACUAAAAAAAAUACCGUGGGCAAGAAAUUCGCCAUCGAUAACGGCUGAAAUUGUCCGAGAUGACUCUCGUUUAAUGAGACAGCAAGUCCGAAGCUGCUCGUCUGAUAGUUGCUGAAAUGAACAGGUAGAGAGAGAUUGAGCGAGUCAAAGCCAUUUGAAACAAAGAUUAACCUGUUCAAAUUAAAAUGUUGAUAAAAUAUAAAUCACCCGCCUCUGUGGAGCUAUGAUCGACGCCAAAACGACGCCAAACGACGCCAAAACGACGCUAAAACCACGCCAAAACGACACAAUACGAUACGACGUCAAACAGCAGCGUAAAUUGGCGAUGUUCCCCGACAUCGUUGAAGGUUAGAGUAGCCUGGUGGUCAAAAAAUGUGCAUGCUAGGGUUAGGAUGUGAUUUCGCACGAAAAAUGCGUGGUC